UAUCAAAACUCAACCCUUUGUGGCCUUACAUAUUGUUGCUUCCGCGGGACCGCCCCGGCGCCUUCGGGCCCGGAACAGGCGCCCGCCGGAAGCCCCAAACUCUUAUGUCUUUAGUGGUUUUCUCCUCUGAAUGACACAUAAACAAAUAAAUAAAAACUUUCAACAACGGAUCUCUUGGUUCUGGCAUCCAUGAAGAACGCAGCGAAAUGCGAUAAGUAAUGUGAAUUGCAGAAUUCAGUGAAUCAUCGAAUCUUUGAACGCACAUUGCGCCCGCCAGUAUUCUGGCGGGCAUGCCUGUUCGAGCGUCAUUUCAACCCUCAGGCCCCCAGUGCCUGGUGUUGGGGAUCGGCCCAGCCUUCUCGCAAGGCCGCCGGCCCCGAAAUCUAGUGGCGGUCUCGCUGUAGUCCUCCUCUGCGUAGUAGCACAACCUCGCAGUUGGAACGCGGCGGUGGCCAUGCCGUUAAACACCCCACUUCUGAAAGUUGACCUCGGAUCAAGUAGGAAUACCCGCUGAACUUAAGCAUAUCAAUAGGCCGGAAGAA
rnacentral:rRNA from 1 species